AGUGAACGCUGGCGGCGUGCUUAAUACAUGCAAGUCGAACGAUGAAGUCCUAGCUUGCUAGGAUGGAUUAGUGGCGCACGGGUGAGUAAUAUAUAGUUAAUCUGCCUUGCACUGAGGAACAACAGUUGGAAACGAUUGCUAAUACCUCAUACUCCAACUUUACAUAAGUUAAGUUGGGAAAGUCUUUUCGGUGCAAGAUGAGACUAUAUCGUAUCAGCUAGUUGGUAAGGUAAUGGCUUACCAAGGCUAUGACGCGUAACUGGUCUGAGAGGAUGAUCAGUCACAUUGGGACUGAGACACGGUCCAAACUCCUACGGGAGGCAGCAGUAAGGAAUAUUGUGCAAUGGGGGAAACCCUGACGCAGCAACGCCGCGUGGAGGAUGACACUUUUCGGAGCGUAAACUCCUUUUGUUAGGGAAGAAUAAUGACGGUACCUAACGAAUAAGCACCGGCUAACUCCGUG
rnacentral:rRNA from 1 species